UUAAGAUUGAAAACGCGCAUUAACAAAUAUGUCAAAACCUAAAUGAGAAAGUAUAUUGGACGAGUAUUGUACGGAGCGGCUGUAUUAAUUUUUUUAGAGGUGCUUUCAUGACAUUUUAAAUUUUUUUAAAAAAAUUUUGCAGUGUAUUAUUUUUUUUUUUAUGUGUGAUUAUUCUUCUAUUAAAUUCCAAAACACCGUCUAUGCGGGAGCUGGUGAGUAAGAUUGAAUAAUGAAAUGUUGUUGUGUGAUUGUUCUACCUAUAUACUCCCUCCUAUUCAGCUGAACUGUCCCAUUUGACUUUUCACACUUGCCGAGGCAACAUUUUAACUCUUAAUAUCUCAAAUUAUGCUUAAUUAAAAAUUAUAAAAAGUUGAUAUUAAUAAUCCUUGUAUUGAGACAAAUCAAACAAGAUCCCAUAUGACUAUGUUUUAACUUAUAGAUUAAGAGUAAAAUACAAAUUAAGAGUGAUAAGUGAAUAGUGCCAAAAAAAAAAUGGGACAAUUCAGCUGAAUAGGAGGUAGUAUAUUAUUAUUUUAUAGCACUAAAUUAUAAUUACGGGUUGAGAAAUGAUUGAAAUCAAAUGAAUGGAGUAGGAUUUUUUAUCUGAACGGUCCAUUGGUUCAUUUUGGGGAACUAAACCCCUUGGAGAUAUUAUUGUGAAGGUUUUUAUAAGAAAAUUUAGUACAAAGAAAUAGGUCUUAUGAAACUUUAAUACGAAGCAUCGAGACUUUAAAGAUAAAAAAAAUAUUAUAUCUUAUUUGUCAUAUUAGAGACUUGAAAGGAAGAGAUGAAAAUAAAAAUCUCAACUAAAAUGUCAUUCUCUUACUCAACUCCCUCCCACCUGCCAAACACCCACUUAAGUAAUGUACUUAAUUAUGAGAGAUGGAGAUAUUGGAUGAUGUGAACAAUCUUUUUGAGUUAUUGUUUUGAAGUUGAUAGUGGGUUUAGGGAAUUCUUGUUGAUCGUUUAUUUUUUGAGGUUGUGUGGGUAGGUUAAAAGAGACAAUGUAGACGGCAACGUUGAUGCUUCUGAAUGCCGGUUGAAACGGGUAACCUUUGAUGUGUAGCUUUUAAAUCUUUGUCGAAAAGUGUCCAAUACUGUAUUGAUCUGAGUGGUAGUGUCAAUUUUUGGAAGGUGGGAGCUAAAGACAUGAUGAGGGAAGGAGAGCGAAUCUUUCUUCCUAUUUGUGUUAUGGAACCACCUAUCAAGAAGCAGGAGUAUGAAUGUAGCGAAGAAGAAAUGAACUUCAUUCGUUGCCUUGAGAUAUAUAAGGAUUCUGCCAUAAUUGCUAUCAACAAACCCCUAAAACUGCCAGUAUAGGUAAAUGACAGGUUGGCCUUGGGAUUAAAAAGAGUUUAGAUGAAUUGGCUGCCACAUGUCUUAGAUAUGACAUCAAGGAACGUCCAAGAUUGGUUCACAAACUCGAUAGAGAUAGUAGUGGAAUCUUGGUAAUGGGAAGAACACAAACAAGCACAACAAUUCUUGAACAAUUGCAAAAGCUUCACGAUCUUAAGGUUCUUUUGUUCUAGUUGUGGGUAGUCUUGGAAGUAAGGCAGCAAAAGAGAAACAUUUCUUUGAUACUCAUUUGGCACGUUUCUAUAGCAUUGAACAAGUAUGUAAUUCCUCUAAUCUUCAAUGCCAGUCUUGCAGUUAAGUGGUUCAAUUUUUUUAGAUUAUUUUGGCAACGAAAAAAGAUCCAGAGAGUGGGAAACCUCCCACUAUAGUAACAGAAGAUAACAUACAGUUGCUUUUUGACAUACAACAGAAGGCAUAUGGUAUCCUUGUCUGAUAUUUGUUUAAAGCCUCUAGGUGAGGAUUGUGCCAUCCAAAGCAUUCUUCAGUAUUCCAGAUGGAUCCUUACAAUUAUGUUGAAUAUGGAGGCAUUCAACACGCUUUGUAUUGCUUUUAGGUAUUGUCUUCAUGAACUAAUCUAAUUGUUUUUUUGGUGGUGGUUAUAAAGUGAAAUUCAUGUGUAGUUAUCUGCUAUGCUUGCAAUACAAAUGUUAAUCUACAGAAAAAAGUCGCAUCACUGCUUUGAAUCGAAAUUUUCAGCUAAAAACAGAGAAUUUUCAAUAGUAAAAUUAUGUGGUGACUUGUAUGAGCUUCUGUAACAAGCUUAUGAUCUGAAUCAGUUCAAGUAUCAUGACGCACCAAAGUGAAGCUAGGUAUUCUGCUUGCUCCAUUUUGCCUCAGCUGGGUGGAGAAUAUGGGGAAUGUAGACUACGCUGUAUUCGACAAUUGCUAAAAAUUGUGAAAGUAAAUGUAUGUAGAUAGAUUCUUGUAGGCUAUAGCUGGUGAAAGAAGUCCCUGACUCCCAGUGUCAAAUUGUGUCAGGGAUCUAUUACUAUAUAUCUUAGGUUAUAAAAACGUGUUACCUUUGUCAAUGGAGGUUUGUUAUUGUUUACUUUCUUUGCCAUUUAACAGCAAAAUAAUUGAACAAGUUCUUGUUAAAGUUGCCUAAAGACUCCUUGGAGAUAAUGAUUUAUGAUACUGCUUCUGUCUUUGAAAGAUUGAAAGCAUAAUAACUCUUUUUUGGAGCAUGUAUUCCGUUGCAGCAUUACACAUGCACGGACUCAUGUUUGAGCGCCUUUAAAGCCCCACUUGAUCCAAGCGCUGCUUGGGGAGGAUUUUUUGGCAAUAAUUUUCCGAGGCUUCUGCAUUUGUGGUAACUUACCAAGUUACUAACACGAUUGAUGAGUCCAGCGAUGCAAAUGGGAAGGCUAUGGAAUGGGAAAGAGCUUUUAUUAAGUUGGCUAAGGAGGAGCUGUUAACCAUGGUGCAGCCCAACAAUCUCAGUUUAUCUUUUUCUUCAGAAAGCUCAAUUGAGGAUGAACUUAAACGGGAAAGCAAUGCUGAUGUCAUAACAAUUUUAGUAAGUUAUAUAAGAGGAAAUGUCCUUCUUUUUGUGCUUAUUGUUGGUGAUGUUGUGAUUAUCUGCCUGCCAGUUUUGGUAUUAAUAAUGUACUCAAGAAAAUUGAGAUCUUGACUCUUGACUACUUAUUAGUUUAAUCUGCGUCAGAUAAGCUAUCUUGUGAUGUUUGCUACAUAUCUCUUACACUGGGCGACAGACCACAUUUGUCCAUGUUCUACAUUUCAUCCAAGGUAUGAACUGAAUAAACUGUUACCAACUUCACUUUUUACUCAAAGAUAGUGUAUACAUUAUGAUCAUAGUUACCAUUCGUAUUUUGCUAAUUUUCAUCACGAAUUACAUCAUUACAAAAAAUUAAAGGGUUUGAUUUUAUGUAAUUUCCGUUUGUCAAAUGUAGAAGGGUUUGGAUUCUUCGCCAUUUCUGAUUCUUUAUCAAGUUUAGAAGGGUUUGGACUUCUUCAUUUGGAUACUUUUCCUGAGUCUUUGUCGAAUGUAGAAUGGUUUGGACUUCUAUAAUUACCAUUUGUAGACAUUUGAUUUCUCUAUGCAGUGUUAGAAAUAAUUUGCCUUGCGUUUUAUCUUUUGUCAAAUGUCAAUUGACAAUUCUUGAGUUAUUGGAUCUAUUGUAAAUUUUUUUACUUGAGCUUGAAUCAAUUUUUGGGCACACUGCACACCAGAGGUCUGGUUAAACUGAAUGAAAAGUAACAAUCUAAAGCAACAAAACACAGUAAUUCAAAUCAUAAGUUUAAAAGCAACAUCAGUUUCCUAGAUCUAUGUGCGCACAGGGAGUCUAGUUGAGAGGAACAUCCAUAGCUCUAGGCUAUGUUACUCUCGAGUGAGGCUAGUCAAUAUUUGAAUGAUAAUUUAUCUUAAAAUAGGGAGUAAGGGUUCCUCUACUCCGUCAAUGACCAUAUCAAUAUCAGCAUAAUCAUUCAUAACACAUUUCUCUCAACAUAAUAAAUUCAAAGUUUUAAUAAAACGAUUUAUAAAAUUGUAGUCUGGCCAGAUCCUUUAAGGGAUUGCUACUACUCACCAAAGAUGCUUUAAAGAGCUAAACCUGGUUCUCCGCGAUCACUAGAAGGGUUCUUCGAUAAUGUCGCCUCCUGAAGCAUAACAAAUUACAACAUCACAAAAGAGCGUUCGAUACUACAAUCUAAAUCGAUACAACUUAUUGCUUUUCCUCCUAGUCACCGCACCGUAGCUAAGACUUUAUUCUUAAUGUCCAACAAUUUCUCCAUUUAUACGUCAAAACACCAAAUACAUUUAAUUUUAGAAUUCUUUCCCAAAAAAAAUUAGUAAAGCCUCAAGUCGCUGCUACUAACAGCGACUUUAAGGUUAACUGGUCAACUCUUUAAUCUCGUAGGUUGGAAUGAGGAAGUAACUGAGAACUGGA